GCAUCGGUGGUGUACGGAAACACACGUCAAUGUCUUGCGUAGAUCGACGAGGUAUUUAUACUAUGACGAGUCCGGGGUUCGACUCCCCGUCGAUGCA